GAUGAACGCUGGCGGCGUGCCUAAUACAUGCAAGUCGAGCGAACAGACGAGGAGCUUGCUCCCCUGACGUUAGCGGCGGACGGGUGAGUAACACGUGGAUAACCUACCUAUAAGACUGGGAUAACUUCGGGAAACCGGAGCUAAUACCGGAUAACAUGUUGAACCGCAUGGUUCAACAGUGAAAGACGGUCUUGCUGUCACUUAUAGAUGGAUCCGCGCCGCAUUAGCUAGUUGGUAAGGUAACGGCUUACCAAGGCAACGAUGCGUAGCCGAACUGAGAGGGUGAUCGGCCACACUGGAACUGAAACACGGUCCAGACUCCUACGGGAAGCAGCAGUAGGGAAUCUUCCGCAAUGGGCGAAAGCCUGACGGAGCAACGCCGCGUAAGUGAAGAAGGUCUUCGGAUCGUAAAACUCUGUUAUUAGGGAAGAACAAAUGUGUAAGAAACUAUGCACGUCUUGACGGUACCUAAUCAGAAAGCCACGGCUAACUACGUG
rnacentral:rRNA from 1 species